rnacentral:RNase_P_RNA from 1 species
GUAUACGGUCGCGGCAUGGCGUUUUGCCAUGACGAGGAAAGUCCGGGCUUCACAGGGCAGGAUGCCGGAUAACGUCCGGCUGGGGUAACCCACGGGAUAGCGCAACAGAAAACGUACCGCCACAGCGGUUUUCGCUGGGGUAAGGUUGAAAAGGCAGUGUAAGAGACUACCGCGUUUCUGGUAACAGAAACGGCAGUGCAAGCCCCAUCCGAAGCAAGGCGAAACAGAGAGCAUGGCUUGCCCGGCCGAGGGGACGCUUCCUGCGUCCCGGGACUCUCAGGUAUGCCGCUUGAGGCUGCCGGCAACGGCAGUCCUAGAUAGAUUAUCACCCAAGACAGAACCCGGCUUACAGGUCCGCCCA